AUUGAACGCUGGCGGCAUGCUUUACACAUGCAAGUCGAACGGUAACAGGCCUUCGGUUGCUGACGAGUGGCGAACGGGUGAGUAAUGCAUCGGAACGUGCCCAGAGGUGGGGGAUAACGCAGCGAAAGCUGUGCUAAUACCUCAUGUGAUCUGAGGAUGAAAGCGGGGGACCAGGCAGCAAUGUUUGGCCUCGCGCCUUUGGAGCGGCCGAUGUCAGAUUAGGUAGUUGGUGGGGUAAAGGCCUACCAAGCCGACGAUCUGUAGCUGGUCUGAGAGGACGACCAGCCACACUGGGACUGAGACACGGCCCAGACUCCUACGGGAGGCAGCAGUGGGGAAUUUUGGACAAUGGGCGCAAGCCUGAUCCAGCAAUGCCGCGUGCGGGAAGAAGGCCUUCGGGUUGUAAACCGCUUUUGUACGGAACGAAAAGGCUCUGGCUAAUACCUGGGGCUGAUGACGGUACCGUAAGAAUAAGCACCGGCUAACUACGUG
rnacentral:rRNA from 1 species